GAACUCCCUUAUUUUAGUAUUUUGUCAGAUUUUUAAACACAUUCAGAAAUAAGAACCACAAAUCCUUUGUCAGUCUCUGAAACAGGAUCUCGGAAGUAGUCAUUGCAGUUGUGAUGUACACAGCAAGUGCUCAAUAAGUGCUUAAACUGUGCCUAACCUCAGUCACCUGUGUCCCUCUGGAAGGUAAAGUCAGGCAGCUGCUUCCCAGGGUCCCCAUCACCCUGGCUAUGACGUUCUGGGAGCUCCUAUCCAAUGUAGACAGUGGGUGUCCAACAAUUUCAUGGCAUGAGUUCCUACUCAAUUGUUGCAGUGUUUGCAAUCCCAGGGUGACGGGGGACUCUCAGUGGCCACGGGGUGGUGGUGGGGGCCCUCAUGCAGUCCACCUGCUGCCCUGAAUGCACCAUACUCAUCAGGCUAAGAGUCUUUUGGGGGGCCUUGCUUUGCCCCGAGCAGCAGAGGCUUGGACGGGAGGAAUCAAUCUUCCUGGAAGCUGCAGAUGGUCAGACAUCCUUCCAGACCCCCUGGAGGCAGGACUGAUUACUGAAGAAAACUGUCUUUCUCUGGCAGAGAGACUGGUUUCCCACUCUGGGCAAAUCUGUGGACAUGAAAACCCUGGCCACACAUGGACCUGGUCAUGAAGAGUCAGCAAUGCAGUGAAAAAAAAAAAAGCUUUAGAGGUACACAAGCCAAUAUUUGAGUCCUGGUUCUGCUACUUACUGGUAAUGAGACCUAGUUCGUUACCUCCUAUCCUCACUUUUCUCAUCAAUAGGUGGAGAUGACUUGCAUAAGAGUAAGUAGUACUAGGUACCAUCACCAACAACCUUAAAUUCACUGUCAUACCAUGAAAAGCAUUUAUUUCUCAUUCAUGCAGAGUCUAAUGUGGACGGCUUUGAUAGAUGGCUCUCCUGGGCGGCUGCUCUGUGAGAAUGGAUUCAGACGUCAGAGUUCUUUCAUCACCUCUCUCUCUUGUCUUCUCAGGAUAUAAGGUCCAUGUUUCCAGCCCUGGAGGAAGAGAAAGAGCCAGGAAAGGGGGGUGGAAUAUGAGCAUCUCUAAAAAGAUAAUCCAGAACAAAAGCUGUUAGUCCCUCUGCUCAUAAGAUGUGCACAAAUACAAGAGACCAGUGAAUUGUCUCCCCAAAGUUGGGAGCUUGAAAUUGACCAUGAUGGGAGUAUUUAUGCCUCAGAAAUAGGCAGAUGCUACAAAUCAGGACCGUUUCCCCCUAAACAGCUGGCUGGUAAACAUUCCCAAGAAUGUUGCUGGCAGCUCUGAGUUAGAUGAGCACCCCCGGGGGCUGAGUGCUGUCCUCAAAUACAUUGUGUCAAGGGAUGUUUGAGGAAGAGGCGAUCCUGUUGGCGAGUCUGUGCCCUGGAGCCGGUCCUGGCUGCUCUAGGACACAGGGUGGCCUCUGCCAGGAUUCACAUCCAGUUCAUAGCAUCUAGAGGCUGCGGGCUCUUCACUAAGCCAUGCCAGGUCUUAGUGCCGAAGUCCAGAGCUUUGCCCCUGGUGCCUGUGACAUCUAACCCUCUCAACACGAGAAGCAACAUCCAGGAAGGUUAGAGGUACUCUCCAUCUGUGCUCUCUAACAUGCUUCUCAGUAUCACCAGCUUGACUGCUGCCCCAGCCGGUCACCAGGCUGCCAGAACCAAAAGCUUUUGAGGAAUUGGGAAGCACAGCUUAAAGGCUCUCCUUUAUAACAUCCCCAUAUAGAAGUGCUGCCUUCUAAAAAUGAUUAUGAAUCCUACAGCACGUGCACCUACACAUAUGCCCUAUUUCCUAAUAUUCACAUUUUCCUACUUUGGCCAUUUUCCUUUCUGAGACCUCUGGGAACCAUUAACAGGGUUUUCCUGCUACCCAGGAUUUGCAGGAGAAUGCAGAUGGGCCCAGAGCGGCCCGGGUGACAUCUGGAAGGAUGUGUUAGAAUUUGCUACUGGAACCCCUGCUUCUCUUACCUGUGGGGGACACUCGUCAUCAUUCCCCAAAAUAGCAUUGGCAGGACAAAGGCUUCUGGGUCCCUGGGCUGGCCUUGGCCUGGGUUUGUUUGUGCUGGGGGAGUGGGCUGGGCAGCAGGGGGUGGGGUUAGUUUCCCUCAUUGUUCCGGUGGAGGAAAGACAUGGUUCAGUGCAUUUCCGUUUGUUUUCACAAACUCAGUGGGACCACCUCCAUCCCCACCACCACCCAAUUUGUAGUCCGACCCUCCCCAGGCCCUGGAACACAGCCUCACACAGCCACAAGCAGUGGAUGAAUGGCGGAGCCUGCAAUGAUGUCAGCAGCCUGUGCUGGGGCCAAGGAAAAUAUGCGGGGGCCCUGAAUGGCUUCAGCCCUGUGCUUGUUGUAACGCAGCUGCGAGUCGGGCAGAGGCUUGAGUUGCCUGAAGUCAUCAUUCCAAUCUUCUGCUACCCAUGGAGACCCAGCCAGAGGGUCUCUGAGAACCCUGCUCAUCCUUCAGGCUACUAAUGGUGGAGCCAUCUCCAUGGUCAGUAAUUCUGCUUUUGAAUCUGAAUCACACAGAUGCAGCCCUGGGGAACUAUCUUAAGUACCCCAGCAAGGCAUUUUAUGGAUCAGAUGACAAGUGGAAACCAGAUUAUUUUUCAGAGUCCAGCAAGGCCUUGGAGCCUGGGAGCAGUUUAGCAUAACUCCCUGGCUGCCUCCUCCACCUCUACCUCCCAGCUGCCUCCUCCUCCCCUAAAGCCUCUCUAAAUCACUCCAGCCAAGUGAAGUUUGAAGAACACAGGGUCUGUGCGGCCUGACAACGUGAUGGGAUGCAGGACCUCUUCUCCCCCACGCUGACUGGGGCUGGGCGGGGCGCAGCUGGCCAUUGCCAGGAAUGCUGCCUCCCCCUGCUUUUGCUCCAACCCUGCCAUCACCGACACUUGGCUCUCAUUUUACGAUUGUGUUUAUACAGCAAACAGACUCUGGAAAAAGAAGAACUCUCCUGUGGCUGCUGUCCAUACCACCUUGUGGUUGCAGAAGCAAAGCAGGGCUGGACCUGAUCUCUGGGUGCUCCAGAGGCCAUCCCAGGGGACCAGGGUGCUUUGAAAUGGUGGGGCCUGUGACUCAUGUCCUGGCAUCCCCUCUUCUGAAACACCUGCCACCAUGAGAAGAUGAUGGGGCUGCAGGUCUCCUGGGGAAGGUACAAAGCUGGGUCACGAAGUCAGAGACCAGUCUGUGUUUCUACCUGUAAUAUCCAUUUUCUUCCACCAAGAAGAAAAAUAAAAUAACCCAAGAACUACCAGCUCCUGAGAACCUAAUAAGUGCGUAAGGAGGUUAACUGUUAUCAUCAUCAUUAAAGUACUGCUAGGUACUGUC